CCUACGGGAGGCAGCAGUGAGGAAUAUUGGUCAAUGGACGAGAGUCUGAACCAGCCAAGCAGCGUGAAGGAUGACUGCCCUAUGGGUUGUAAACUUCUUUUAUAUCGGAAUAAAACAGGGUAUGCAUACCCUCUUGUAUGUACCAUACGAAUAAGGAUCGGCUAACUCCGUGCCAGCAGCCGCGGUAAUACGGAGGAUCCGAGCGUUAUCCGGAUUUAUUGGGUUUAAAGGGUGCGUAGGUGGAUUGGUAAGUCAGAUGUGAAAUUUUGAGGCUCAACUGUAAAAUUGCAGUUGAAACUGGUAGUCUUGAGUAUAGUUGAGGUAGGCGGAAUUCGUGGUGUAGCGGUGAAAUGCUUAGAGAUCACGAAGAACUCCGAUUGCGAAGGCAGCUCACUAGACUACAACUGACGCUGAUGCUCGAAAGUGUGGGUAUCAAACAGGAUUAGAUACCCUGGUAGUC
rnacentral:rRNA from 1 species